UGAACUUCAGCGUUUUUCCAAAGGGCUAUGCAGAAAAGUGCAUUGAUGUGGAACAACAAGAUACUCCAACACUGUGGAGCUGUGUUAGACUUCCUGGGAAAUAAAGAAAUAGACACACCUCUGUUGCCUUGGCUAUCGUACAGAGGCAUGGACGUGAGGAGAACAGGGAUGGGAGUCUCACUAUGUUGUCCAGGCUGAUCUUGAACUGCUGGGCUCAAGCUAACCUCUCACCUCAGCCUCACAAAGCACUGGGAUUAUAGCCGUGAGCCAUCACACCUGACAGUUCUACCUUUAUUAAUAAAUCUGCUGGAAAUGGAGUUUCUUUAUGACAAACUAUGCACCAGGCAGGAAUAAAGGCAUUCAGUUUCUGGACAACAUCAAAU
rnacentral:lncRNA from 10 species